rnacentral:rRNA from 1 species
CGGGGUAGGAGUAACGCGUGAGGAACCUGCCUCAAAGAGGGGGACAACAGUUGGAAACGACUGCUAAUACCGCAUAAGCCCACGGCUCGGCAUCGAGCAGAGGGAAAAGGAGUGAUCCGCUUUGAGAUGGCCUCGCGUCCGAUUAGCUAGUUGGUGAGGUAACGGCCCACCAAGGCGACGAUCGGUAGCCGGACUGAGAGGUUGAACGGCCACAUUGGGACUGAGACACGGCCCAG